GUUUGUGUGAAAUGAGUUCCGUAGCCUCACGAUAUAAACAUCCCAGUUCCUUUUACUCAUCCUCACUAACAGUAAAGAUUCUUUCUCUCUCUCACACACACACACACACACAUAGAAGUAAGUAAACAAACGUGAAUACAGUUAAGCACAUGAAGUCAGAGAUAUAUAAGUAUUUUAUAAAUACACAUACACACACACAUACACGCAUACACACACACAUACUCGCAUGCACACAUUAUUACACAGGCAAGCUGGUCGUGUGUGUCAUUUCGUCGGGGAAGUAACGUUCGUUUUUACCUGUUACGCUGCUUUAUGAUGAGGAAAGGGAAUUCCUUAUACGUUGGUUGGCGCUGAUUGCCUCGCCGAUGACACAUUAACUUAGCUUAGGUGCCUGUCUUUUAGCCGGACUAGCACCGCCACUAAAUUGAUAACCAUCAUCAUCAUCGCUUGCUAUCAUUACAAAAUCCCGGUAACGAUUUUUUUUAUUUUGCCGUCACACAUCAGCAGCACCAUCGCCGCCACCGCCACUAUUAUCACCACCACUACUACUACUACUACUACUACUACUACUUGUAGUACUACACAUGCAACGGAUGAUUCUCAAUUUACUAUAAAAACUAUACAAAUAAUAAUAAUAGCUUCGAUGCAAAACUAGUUUUCGUGUUUUCUUCCCUGACUCUCGAUACGUUCCUUUCAGUUUCGCAAGUAACAUACACACACACACACACGUACAUAUACGUAUUACACACUGACACGCACACACACACAUACACUUAUAUAAACACAAGGACUUUACUAUACGUACAACCAACACACAUACACAUGCAUAUAAACGUAUAUUACUGACACAUGCACACAUAUACCUAAAUACAAGGACUAUACUCUCUAUACGUAGGUACGUACGUACGUAUAUAUAUAUAUAAUUUUUGUGUAUAAUCUACAUAUGUAAAUAGGUAGAUGUAUAUAUAUAUAUAUAUAUAUGUGUGUGUGUGUGUGCAUCAGGAAAUAAGUCUUACACAUUUGAUACAAACACACUUCAAAGCAGUGUUCACUAGUGCGACUAAGGUUACUAAAUACUGCAAGCAACACAGACCGUGGCGUUUAUAAUCACUUCUAAUACGACUACUACUACUACUAGUACAAAUUACAAGUACCACCACCACCACUACUACAACUACUACUACUACUACUGAUACAGAGACUAGUGUCUAGUAUCAUCAACAACAAACGAUCAUCUCUCAGCUGGGAUAGAAUCAUUUCCUCCAGCCUUCUUUGCGGUGGUCAAUCGUUUAUUCACAACACUUGCUACCGAAAAUGUGACUGCAUUCAUCAUUGGAUGUUUUUUAAAUUGAUGACAAGAUUCACAUACCAAUAUGUUUCAUAUAUUCUCCUUCCUCCUUCAACUGAUGUGAUCUAAUACCAUUAGGCUGGGCAUGUACGGCUGGAGAGGUGAAAAGAACUGUAAAGAAACAAAGUGAAAGAUCAGAUGAGUUAGUAACUGCAGGCCAGUGUGAACAGACUGAGUUCAU